rnacentral:rRNA from 1 species
UGGUGGAGUGAUUUGUCUGGUUAAUUCCGUUAACGAGCGAGACCAAAACUUACUAAAUAAGCGGGUCAAUCGUCUGAUAUGCUGUGAAGGUCAAACGGCAGGUGGGUCUAAACGCCCGCCUCUGGCUGGCUGAAUCAGUUGAUGAAUUGGCUACGCUUUCUUAGAAGGACUGGCGGCUUCAAGUCGCAGGAAGUUUUUGGCAAUAACA